rnacentral:rRNA from 1 species
UGAGUAACCUGCCCUUAACUCUGGGAUAACCCCGGGAAACCGGGGCUAAUACCGGAUACGACCUCCGCGGGCAUCUGCGGAGGUGGAAAGGUUUCCGGCUGAGGAUGGGCCCGCGGCCCUAUAAGCUUGUUGGUGGGGGUGGACGGCCCGCCAAGGCGACGACGGGUAGCCGGCCUGAGAGGGCGACCGGCCACACUGGGACCGAGACACGGCCCAGACUCCUACGGGAGGCA